rnacentral:misc_RNA from 1 species
GAAAUGCGAUAAGUAGUGUGAAUUGCAGAAUUCAGUGAAUCAUCGAAUCUUUGAACGCACAUUGCGCCCCUUGGUAUUCCAUGGGGCAUGCCUGUUCGAGCGUCAUUUGUACCCUCAAGCUUUGCUUGGUGUUGGGCGUCUUGUCUCCCUCUCGGGAGACUCGCCUCAAAACAAUUGGCAGCCGGCAUAUUGGUAUCGGAGCGCAGCACAAGUCGCGCUUCUUUCCAUGAAUGUCAGCAUCCAUCAAGACCAUUUUUCACUCUUGACCUCGGAUCAGGUAGGGAUACCCGCUGAACUUAA